rnacentral:rRNA from 1 species
AGCAGCCGCCACGGUAAAACGUAGGGUGCGAGCGUUAAUCGGAAUUACUGGGCGUAAAGCGUGCGCAGGCGGUUCGUUAAGACAGAUGUGAAAUCCCCGGGCUCAACCUGGGAACUGCAUUUGUGACUGUAGAGCUGGAGUACGGCAGAGGGGGAUGGAAUUCCGCGUGUAGCAGUGAAAUGCGUAGAUAUGCGGAGGAACACCGAUGGCGAAGGCAUUCCCCUGGGCCUGUACUGACGCUCAUACACGAAAGCGUGGGGAGCAAACAGGAUUAGAUACCCGCGUAGUCCCUGUCUCUUAUAA